UCAUUAAUCAAGAAAACAUCUCACAGACUU
rnacentral:piRNA from 1 species